rnacentral:rRNA from 1 species
CUUGUUGGUGGGGUGAUGGCCUACCAAGGCUUCGACGGGUAGCCGGCCUGAGAGGGCGUCCGGCCACACUGGGACUGAGACACGGCCCAGACUCCUACGGGAGGCAGCAGUGGGGAAUAUUGCGCAAUGGGCGGAAGCCUGACGCAGCGACGCCGCGUGGGGGAUGACGGCCUUCGGGUUGUAAACCUCUUUCGACUUCGACGAAGCCUUUGGGUGACGGUAGGGGUGGAAGAAGCACCGGCCAACUACGUGCCAGCAGCCGCGGUAAUACGUAGGGUGCGAGCGUUGUCCGGAAUUAUUGGGCGUAAAGAGCUCGUAGGCGGUGUGUCGCGUCGGCCGUGAAAACCUGCAGCUUAACUGUGGGCGUGCGGUCGAUACGGGCAUCACUGGAGUUCGGCAGGGGAGACUGGAAUUCCUGGUGUAGCGGUGAAAUGCGCAGAUAUCAGGAGGAACACCGGUGGCGAAGGCGGGUCUCUGGGCCGAUACUGACGCUGAGGAGCGAAAGCGUGGGGAGCGAACAGGAUUAGAUACCCUGGUAGUCCACGCUGUAAACGGUGGGCACUAGGUGUGGGGGCCAUUCCACGGUCUCUGUGCCGCAGCUAACGCAUUAAGUGCCCCGCCUGGGGAGUACGGCCGCAAGGCUAAAACUCAAAGGAAUUGACG